CAGUCGCCGCGGUAAUACGUAGGGUGCGAGCGUUAAUCGGAAUUACUGGGCGUAAAGCGUGCGCAGGCGGUUGUGUAAGACAGGUGUGAAAUCCCCGGGCUUAACCUGAGAACUGCGCUUGUGACUGCACAGCUAGAGUAUGGCAGAGGGGGGUGGAAUUCCACGUGUAGCAGUGAAAUGCGUAGAGAUGUGGAGGAACACCGAUGGCGAAGGCAGCCCCCUGGGCCAAUACUGACGCUCAUGCACGAAAGCGUGGGGAGCAAACAGGAUUAGAUACCCCCGUAGUCCCUGUCUCUUAUAC
rnacentral:rRNA from 1 species